rnacentral:ncRNA from 1 species
CUGCAUAGCACGGGGAGCUCGGAGGAUUCCGGGCUGAGAGUGUGACCUGCCUGCCGUCUUUAGCGGUGGGCCCUGUCACAGACCCAUGGGACCCGAUCCAGGUAAUGCUGGCGUGGGGAACGCGAUCGGAUGGAAUG